CAAAGAUGAAUUGAAUAUUUACAAACCAUUAUUGUUUAUUAAAAAAAUAGAAUUUGACACGCCUGUAAUGUGCUGCAGAUUUAACCAAGAAUGCUCUAUUUUAGCACUAGGGCUAUCGUCUGGAAAAAUCCAUGUUAGUCCCUUAUUUAUAAAAUAGAUCAUUUACAUUAACUUGAAUUUUGAGACGUCAUGUCUAGUCGACUCAGAUAUCAAAACUAAACAGUUUCCGUGUACAUGCAUUCGAUUUAUCCCCGACGCCAAUGAACAAGUUCUGAUUGCUUCAUGUAAAUUAAUUUUUGUAUUUGAAGAUUCAAAUGGAACGACUAGAAUAUGGAAUUAUAAAAAUGAAUUUUGUCUUCGAACAAUAUUCGAUCAAAGAUCUACACUCUCUUUAGCAAUGCAUUUCUCAGGCGAUAGAUUCGUAACUGUCGGGGAGAACACUAAUAUAUUUAUUUAUAAUGUUGAAACUGGACAACGAAUUUCUCAUUUACAAGCUGGACAUAAAAAGAAUGUCUUGUCUGGUCAUUCUCUCGCAGUAUUUUCUGCAGUCUAUCAUUCGGAAAAUUCAUUUUUGACUGGUGGCUGGGACAACACAAUUCAAUAUUGGGAUGAUCG